CCCGCCGUUCCUUUUUCCUAUGCAUAUACUUCUUUGAAGAUCUGGCCUAAAGAGGUAUAGGGCAUGGGAAAACGGGGCGGUCGGGUC
rnacentral:pre_miRNA from 8 species